AGCAAUUAUAAAAAUACACAUAAUGACAACAGAUUAAUCUUUAGAACUGUUCGCAAAAUUUUUGGUUUGGAUACAAAAAACCAAGUGAAAAUGAUACUAGAAAGACUGUUUACCGUUUGACUCCUGUCCCAAGCUAACCUAGUGGGUUCAAAAAAAAGAGACUGCGCUGGAAACAUAAGUGGAUUAAAAGGAUCAACCCUUUCUGAAUUAAUAGUCGAAGUGAUAACUAGCUAGAAGUCGUAACCUGCUCGUAUGAAAGGAUUUCUCGACAUGAAAUUGUUAAUUUUAUUCAACAACGCUAAGAAACAGAGCUCGCUCAAGAAACAGAAA
rnacentral:lncRNA from 1 species